UGGGGAAUCUUGGACAAUGGGCGCAAGCCUGAUCCAGCCAUGCCGCGUGAGUGAAGAAGGCCUUCGGGUUGUAAAGCUCUUUUACCAGGGACGAUAAUGACGGUACCUGGAGAAUAAGCCCCGGCAAACUUCGUGCCAGCAGCCGCGGUAAUACGAAGGGGGCUAGCGUUAUUCGGAAUUACUGGGCGUAAAGCGCACGUAGGCGGAUUGUUAAGUCAGAGGUGAAAUCCCGGAGCUCAACUUCGGAACUGCCUUUGAUACUGGCAAUCUAGAGUCCGGAAGAGGUUAGUGGAAUUCCCAGUGUAGAGGUGAAAUUCGUAGAUAUUGGGAAGAACACCAGUGGCGAAGGCGGCUAACUGGUCCGGUACUGACGCUGAGGUGCGAAAGCGUGGGGAGCAAACAGGAUUAGAUACCCAAGUAGUCCCUGAGCGGGCUGGCAAGGCGCAU
rnacentral:rRNA from 1 species